rnacentral:rRNA from 1 species
AGUAACACGUGGAUAACCUACCUAUAAGACUGGGAUAACUUCGGGAAACCGGAGCUAAUACCGGAUAAUAUUUUGAACCGCAUGGUUCAAAAGUGAAAGACGGUCUUGCUGUCACUUAUAGAUGGAUCCGCGCUGCAUUAGCUAGUUGGUAAGGUAACGGCUUACCAAGGCAACGAUGCAUAGCCGACCUGAGAGGGUGAUCGGCCACACUGGAACUGAGACACGGUCCAGACUCCUACGGGAGGCAGCAGUAGGGAAUCUUCCGCAAUGGGCGAAAGCCUGACGGAGCAACGCCGCGUGAGUGAUGAAGGUCUUCGGAUCGUAAAACUCUGUUAUUAGGGAAGAACAUAUGUGUAAGUAACUGUGCACAUCUUGACGGUACCUAAUCAGAAAGCCACGGCUAACUACGUGCCAGCAGCCGCGGUAAUACGUAGGUGGCAAGCGUUAUCCGGAAUUAUUGGGCGUAAAGCGCGCGUAGGCGGUUUUUUAAGUCUGAUGUGAAAGCCCACGGCUCAACCGUGGAGGGUCAUUGGAAACUGGAAAACUUGAGUGCAGAAGAGGAAAGUGGAAUUCCAUGUGUAGCGGUGAAAUGCGCAGAGAUAUGGAGGAACACCAGUGGCGAAGGCGACUUUCUGGUCUGUAACUGACGCUGAUGUGCGAAAGCGUGGGGAUCAAACAGGAUUAGAUACCCUGGUAGUCCACGCCGUAAACGAUGAGUGCUAAGUGUUAGGGGGUUUCCGCCCCUUAGUGCUGCAGCUAACGCAUUAAGCACUCCGCCUGGGGAGUACGACCGCAAGGUUGAAACUCAAAGGAAUUGACGGGGACCCGCACAAGCGGUGGAGCAUGUGGUUUAAUUCGAAGCAACGCGAAGAACCUUACCAAAUCUUGACAUCCUUUGACAACUCUAGAGAUAGAGCCUUCCCCUUCGGGGGACAAAGUGACAGGUGGUGCAUGGUUGUCGUCAGCUCGUGUCGUGAGAUGUUGGGUUAAGUCCCGCAACGAGCGCAACCCUUAAGCUUAG